rnacentral:lncRNA from 1 species
CACCAAGGCAACGGAAACAUGAGGGCUCAACCACCAGGUGGCCGCGAAAGAAAACAGCACAUUCAGAACAAAUUGUUGGCAAAUCCAUUUUACUCAGAUCCAGAGCUCAGCAUAGACUCUCUGUCUCUAAUUGGGUAAAGUUUUAAAAAUAUCUAUUCUUGGGCCUGAAAUGUAGUUUCGAAAUAUGGCCGUGCAAAUGCACUAGGAGAAGAGAGCUUUCAGUCGGCACAACAAGGAUUGGGAUGUGUGCAGCUGGGGAGAGGGAGCAGUCACCUGUAAGGAUCUGAAUGGCUAGUAACCAUCAUCUGGUGAUGCUACCCAAUGGCUUUCCUUGCGGUCAAGAUUGGGUGCCUCUUCAGUUUCUCAGUAUCCAAGUCUGUUCCAGAUAGAGGAGCAUUUUCUGGACCCGGUAUAAAGUCCCGAGAGUCCUUGAUUUCCCUGGUAUCAUCUCAGACCAAGUGGGCAUGAAUGACCACUGAAACAAAACUGAGCUGGUAGAUUCCACCUCACAGUGCAUUGGAAUCAUCGCGCAGCUGGAAGGACAGCCCAAUCUGUGCACCGCAUGCCUACCUUAGAGACGAUCUCCAUCUUCUAACGUGAUUUAUCACCACUGCUCCCCUGUGCCAGUGAAAGAACGCUCCUCCAAAGAACUAUUUCAAAAGAAACUGCUGUGCUGAUGUCUCUCCUUUCCUCUCUCCAAUGAAUUCCCAUCAGAUUUCACCCCACCUCUCUACGGAGCAGCCCCUUCAGGGUCACCAAGGAUCUCAGCUUUCCACAAGAGGCAGGGAGCCACAAACAGAACUACAAAGCAGGUAUAGUCAACUAGCCAGUAGUCAUUACUUCACUAAAGAAUUCCUGGACUGGGAAGUUAUGGACUCAUUCUUCCAAUGCAGUGGUGACUUGACUUGAUAUAGGAGCAGGCUUGGCAGCCUGUGUUUGAAUGAAUCUCCUUGAGUUUUCUCCGCCCCUGCGCAAGAGAGUUUGGUCCACACAGAGGAUGUAUCAGGCCAUAGAGUCAAGGCUGAACACACAAAAGUACAUCUCAAACUUUUAAAUAUUUCUAGUCUGCGGGAUCUGAAAUGGUGUCUCAUGGUAUUGGAUAUUCAUUGUCCUCAUUAACAGGGCAGGUAGACCUCACUUUGUGCAGCAGUGUAAGACUGUAAAAAUGAUUGUGCAGACCAAAAUCAUGCAAAGAGAUAGUCAACAGUAAAAGUUACAAUUGGU